rnacentral:piRNA from 1 species
UAAAGGUGAUCGUUCCGAUGAUUUGUGU